UUUCCGUAGGUGAACCAGCGGAGGGAUCAUUACUGAAUUAAACAUGCUUUGUGUCUUCGCUUCGGCAACGCCCUGGCUUAAAUCACAUCCUAACACCUGUGAACUGUAAGACGUAUGAUGAGGUCUUUGGCCAAGUCAUCGUCUGCCCUUUUUUAACAAACCAUUAAUGUAACAACCGUAGUCUUAUUAUAACCUAAUAAAACUUUCAACAACGGAUCUCUUGGCUCUC
rnacentral:misc_RNA from 1 species